CAGCGUGACAUAUCAACGAAUUUAGCUACUUAUACAGUCAGAACCUAGCAGGUGUGCUCUCCAAGUUACUAAGCGGUAAGGAAUGUUGCGAUAAUAGAUUGUGCUACGAGAAAACCUUGAAAGAAACCCAAGCGAUAUCACAUUACCGAAAUGGAGCCCAUAUACGGAAGAUGACGGAUACUUCUAUAAUAUAAGCUUCGU
rnacentral:misc_RNA from 1 species